CUCUUGUUUUUUUUGGCAAACUAUACCCAAAGGCCAAAGCAGAAGCAGAAGUAGUUUGAAAGGGUAAAAUAAGCACUUUCUUCGAUUAUCAAAAAGCUAAGUAUCACGGACUCACGGUACCGCCUUCAACCUGCGCCCCUUGCUUCUUUGUUUCCGGGUACUUCUUCAGAGAUUCUUCAUAACUUGAUGUACGGCUACUCCCCUACGUGUCCGUCCUAUUCCCCAUACGACUACAGCCGCGACUAUGAACCAGGUCCUGAACUAUGUCUUCGGUUUCCUGACAAAAAGGAGACCGGAUCGUUAGAUGCUAGAUUUGAUCAAUCUCCGGUACUAAAAAAAAUUCUAGAUUACUAUGUUGAUCAAAAACCUUCCAGAGAUUCACUAUGGUUUUCUAAAGAUGAUCAGUAUGCCAAAACUACUGUCGACAAAAAAAAACUGUGGCGUAUCUAUUCCAAGAUUACACCUUCAGUUGUAUCCGUGUCUUCAUUUUUUGGCGUGGAGAGGAAAAUUGAUUGCUCAGGUCUCAUAAUAGACUGGAAUUCAAUUGAGAAUGAGGCAACCGUAUUGACUUCUGCAAAACUCCUUUGGAGUCCAAAGGAUACCAGUUUAGAAUUUCAUCUAAUUGUAAGAACGGCAGAUGGAACUUUGUUUCUUGCUCGAGAAGACUACGUGGACUAUCAUUAUAACCUUCUUACUUUGAAAAUCAAGUCCACAAUAGAACUAAAAGUUGUAGAUUUGAGAUGUAGGCAAGCAGAAUAUGUUGAACGGAUGAGUGUCAUUGCUUUGGGUCGUGCUUUUCAAACGUGCCUUCCAUUUGAUUAUGUAGGAGAACUAUCUCUUGCAUCCCCAAAUUAUGGUUGUGACGAGCUUUUGAUGUCUACUUGUAAAUUUUCUGAGAUUUGUGAAGGUGGACCACUUAUCACUGAUACUGGAUAUGUGAUUGGUAUUAACUUUAAGGAUGCGCAUUCACUUCCUGCAGCGGUUAUCUUAUCAUGCCUAGAGAUGUGGAGGUCCUUUGGUACUGUUGUGCGCCCUUGGUUUGGAAUGAGCGUUGUUGAUGUGGAUCAAUUAUCUUAUUGGAUAUGGGAAAGAUAUAAUAUACCGGUAGAAGGGUCAUAUGUUGUCGUCAAAGAGGUAUUGAAAGGAUCAAUUGCUGACAAAAAUGAUGUACAUCCCGGGGACUUAGUUUCUACAUGUAAUGGAGUUUCGAUACGAUCUGCCAAGCAGUAUUCCCAGUUAUUGUCCGAGGCAUCACAAGUUUUGACGGCAUGUGCUGAUUCAAGCCAACAAAGUUUCACAGUAAACAACCUAGGAGGACAGAGGGAGUACGUAAUUGUACUCAUUUCUUCAUCAAGUUUCAACUUACUACCUACUUGGCAUACAGCUACAUGUAACAACAUUAUGACUGAAUUUGCAUCAGCUUGUCAUAAAUCCAUUUGAUCGUCAUACUGAUAAUAUUAGCAUUGAGGCUGAGCAAGUUUCGGUCGAUGACAAGAGGUUUAACUAUCGUUGGCGGGGAAUAUCAUGUGGUGAAUGGAACAAGAUCAAUGAAUUGCUAAGAAAUCCCGGGCACCUGCGGUAUGACCCGAGUGCGCCUCGGUAUACACCAACAUGAUAAGAUUAUUGGUACACAUUUUAGCAUAAUUCUUAUUAGAGUCCGUGUCCCUGAUGCUAUCAGCGGGUAAAAAUUACUAGACGGCUUAAGCUAAAUUAUUGACGUAUACACGGGUGUUUCAGUGUCAUUCAGCCGGAAAUUAUCUCAUUCUAGAAUUCUUUUUAUAUUACUAAGUGAAGCUGCAUUGCAGGUACCCAUGAUAUCGGCAAACCUUAAAUUUCUUAAUUAUAAACGAAGCCACGCCGAUAAGAUUGCUAAGAUCCCGCCAAUCGAGUAAAAUAGUUGAUCAAAUGAUGGAUUAAAUUAAUUCAAUGUGGAAAUUCAAAAUUAAUUAAUCAAUUAAAUGUGUUUAAGCAAUAAAUAAUUAUUAAUUCCAUGUGCAGGCAGUGUAUUAUGCGGAA